rnacentral:rRNA from 1 species
ACGCUCGACACCUACGGGAGACAGCAGUAGGGAAUCUUCCACAAUGGGCGCAAGCCUGAUGGAGCAACACCGCGUGAGUGAAGAAGGGUUUCGGCUCGUAAAGCUCUGUUGUUGGAGAAGAACGUGCGUGAGAGUAACUGUUCACGCAGUGACGGUAUCCAACCAGAAAGUCACGGCUAACUACGUGUCAGCAGCCGCGGUAAUCUGAGCGGGCUGGCAAGGC